rnacentral:lncRNA from 1 species
AAUCCCCAGACAAUAAAACGAUGGGAUAGAAAAGCAGGGCCAUAUUUUUCAUAUUGAAAUUUAUAACCACACUUUUAUACAAAACACAAACCAUAACAAUUCACAACUUUUUAUUCUAAGCUCUAUUCACAUCAAAAUGGAGAUAUCAAAGAAGAUAACAUCUCAGUCCACCUGGGCCGUCCUCAAGGCCCUUCUCAAGAUUAUCUUCUUCUUCCAAAAAUCCUUCUCCAACUCUUCCUCCUCAGCUCCUUAGCGGGGUCCUGAAAUGGUUUUCCCCAAACUGGGAUGAGACUACGUCUCAGCGAGUUCUACCCCACUAAGCCCGAUUAGUAAACCAUUAUACUAAAGGCUGCCUAAACACACAUAGGUCAGAAGGCGUACCUUAGCAUCAUAUCCCACCUGCAAGUCAGUACAAUUCACAAUAGGCACUCAAGCAAUCGUAUCACCGAUCAAGGCAUCAAUCAAAUCGACCUAGUCGAUGACAAUUCAACAAGACCACUCACGGUCAUUCCCAUUCAGUCAAUCAAUUCACAACAUCAAAUCAAAACAAUGAUCAAUCGACCUUGUCGAUUACAUGUCAACCUGACCAUUUCCCGGUCAUUCAAACUAUUGCUAUUCAGAGUCCCACUCAGCAACAUUCAAUAUUUAAUGGCUUUACGGUCCCACUCGACCCCUUGCAAGAUUUAAUGGCUUUACGGUCCCACUCGACCCAUUGCAAGAUUUAAUGGCUUUACGGUCCCACUCGACCCCUUGCAAGAUUUAAUGGCUUUACGGUCCCACUCGACCCCUUGCAAGAUUUAAUGGCUUUACGGUCCCACUCGACCCCUUGCAAGAUUUAAUGGCUUUACGGUACCACUCGACCCCUUGCAAGAUUUAAUGGCUUUACGGUCCCACUCGACCCCUUGCAAGAUUUAAUGGCUUUACGGUCCCACUCGACCCCUUGCAAGAUUUAAUGGCUUUACGGUCCCACUCGACCCCUUGCAAGAUUUAAUGGCUUUACGGUCCCACUCGACCCAUUGCAAGAUUUAAUGGCUUUACGGUCCCACUCGACCCCUUGCAAGAUUUAAUUUGGCACAAUUCAAAGCUCAAAUAAAUAAACGGACUGCGUCACGACAAUCGGUACGAGAUUUCGGUCGUCGGCCAUCUCAAUCUUAAUUUCCGAAAAAUAAAUAAUUAAUUAAUUAAUUUCGAAAUUUAAUUAAUAAAUACUAAUAAUUCAAAUUAGCACAAACUAAAACACAAUUAAACAAACGGGCUUCACCACGGUCAUCAGCAUAAUUUUCCGGUUCCAGGCCAUCUCAGUUGAAUUUUCAGGAAAUAAAUAAUUAAUUAAUUAAUUUCUAAAAUUAAAUAAUUAAUAUUAAAAAUUCAAUUUAGCUUAAAAUAAAGCCCGAUUAAAUAAACAGACUUCACCACGGUCAUCAGCAUAAUAUUCCGGUUCCGAACCAUCUCCCUUGAAUUUUCGGAAAAUAAAUAAUUAUUUAAUUUAAUUCCGAAAAUUAAUAUUUAAAUGCCCAAAAAUCUCACUUAGGCCCGAAUCGCCAAAUUGAAGCCCGAUUAGGGGUCGGAAAAUUCCCGAGAUGCUUCCAAUAAAUAGUAGACCACGUCUACUUGUUAAUUGCACAAUCAAUUUAUUUAAAUCACAUCACAAUUGACUAAUAAUUGCUAAUUAAUUCUAAUCUAACAACCUAAACAUAAUUAAUUAAAACUAAACCAACCUAAAGCAUAAUUAGUCAACUAAUCCAAGAUUAGUGAGAUUACUCACCAAAUCGCCCGCAAAUCGGAUCAAUCCGACGGCGGCGACGCGAGGAACGAUUGUUCCCAAAGCACGGCUCGGGUUCGGGGCCGGGAAACGACCCAAAAGCGGGCCCGAAGUCGCUGAAACCCACUCCGUGGGUCUGCUGGACGGAGCCGAUCGGGCUUGCUCCGGCGGCUAGGGCGGCGAGGGAAAGCCGGCGGAGGGCGAGGGGGUUGCGGGGGAGGUCCGGCGGGGUUGGGCGGUGGCCGGAGGUGGCCGGGGAUGGCUGGACGAAGCUGUAACAGAAGCGAACAGCAGCUGGGUCGCUGGAUCGCACGGCCUGAGCGCGCACGGACGGCGGCGGGCGCACGGGCGCGGCGCGGCGGUGCGGCGGUGCGGCGGCGGGACGAACGGCGAGGGGUUCUCGGCG